rnacentral:rRNA from 1 species
AUGGCCGCGGCCACCAUCCUCCCCACGCCUCGAGACCCUGCUCAGAAGACGCGCCGUCGUCCGCUACUUCCUCUACGGCCAAGAACGCGCGCCGGGGAGUACUCCGUCGCCGGAUCGCCUUCGUCUUCCUCCCCGGCACCGACGAACUCCGCCACCCCGAUUCGCCGCCCUCCAGUGCUCCUAAGCCCAUCGCCGGCCACCGUGUGCCUCACUGUGAGCACCGCACCUUUCCCCCCUCUCCUCAUUGCCCCGUGCGCCAUAGCCACUUCCCCUGUUCGAGGCCGACGCCGCCGUCCGCCAUGGCCGACGAGCACAUCGCUGACGUGCCUCUUAGCGUCGUCUGAGGAUGCGUGCGUGCUCUAG